rnacentral:lncRNA from 1 species
CAGUAAUAACAUUUUACUGUAAAUAUUUAAUAAAAGUAUUGCCAAUUUGAAUAUAUAAUUAUGUAUGCAUUUUACAAAAACUACACUAAUUAUAAAAUAAUUUAUUUGUCUACAAUAUAAAACAAAUGGAAUUGUCUGACAUGUAUAAUAACGUAAUCACAGAAAAGAAAAUUAUUGCUAAAAAUAGUACAAGUUACUUAAUAAAUGUCAUGCCAAUCAGAACACAACAUCUAAUGAUCUAUUGUCACAGAACAUGUUCAUUUAUGGCACAUGGAUACUCUGUAGUCUGUAUUGUAUGAAAAUGAAUAUGAACCUUAAAUCAUCUUGGGAAAAUCGAUUCAGUACCCGUCAUACCUUAUUCCUUAUUCAAAAUAUCGGGGUUUGGAUGGUUUAAAAGAAGGUGACUUACAGAUCACCAAAACGACGUGCACUUGUUAUAAUUAUUACUGUCAAUCUGUUAACUAUAAAAUAUGAUUUCCCUCUGUUCAGAUAUGUGUGACAUAAAAUUCUAAAGUUAUUAAACAUAUUGAAACAUAAAAAGUAUUGGCAAAUAUGAGAUAUGUGUUAACGGGUCUGGCACGCGCACAACAUCCACACAGUCAUGCGGCUGACCAAUUAUGAUGCAAUUAUGUUGAGUAGUAUGAAUUUGUAGUUGAUGAAAAAAUUGUUGGAAGAAGGACACACGGAUAAGUGUAUUGUAGAAAAGUAUGAUCUGUUAGAAUUAAAGCACAAAUCGUAAGCAGUUAAAAAAUUAUAUCUGUAGAGAAUGAAAAAUGUCAUUUGACGUCGAUAAACUUCUGAAUAAAAUCUUGACAAAAAUAUUACGCAAUUUCAUUAAUAAUGGUCUUCCGCACGAAUUGAUCCUUUAAUAAACAAACGAUCGUGUAAGAACAGUAUCCAUAUUUCUAAGAUGUUUGGAGAGCAAUUAAUGCAAAGAACUAGUACUAGUCCUUAAAUGACAUGUUGUCUUAUACAAAAGUUUACAAUGAGCACAUACAUGUAUCAUAGAAAAUAACUACAUCAAUUAAAAAUAUGUACACUUUUAAGCAUACUUAUUUGUCACCGUAUUACAAAUCAUGUACUUGCAUUGAUUUCAUCAUGACUUCAAGCUUUAAAUUGCAUUCAUACACUUUGAUGGGAAAUAUAGCAGUUAUGUCAUUUUGUAACAAGUGGUUUAAAUUUUGUAAAUAACUUUGAUUAGAAAGUGAUCUUCUCGGGCUUUAAUAAAACAAUUUGAACACUUAUGUUUACUUGCAAAUAGUCAGAGAUUUCUUUCAAAUAUAUAUGACAAUAAAGGUUAAGUUUAAUGGGACUGAAAGAACACCAUCAGCAUCAUUUCUCUUUAUGAAAGCUGCAAAUAUUGCAGGUUAGUUGUUGAUGUCCAAUAUUCUUUAUAUCUAUGUUAAAUAUCUUAAAAAGAAGUGUCUGCAUUUUCUGAUUUGACAUGACUUGCAUCAUCCUAAUUUAUAUUAUGUCAAAUCAAAAUAAAAACUUUAUCAAAACAAAAUAAAUAAAUGUUUAAUGUUGGUUUUACUUUUAGGUUUUAAAUAUUGUUCACUCUUAUACACUUUAAUAUUCUGAAUAGUUUUUCCCCUUAGUGCACUAAAAUUGUCUAAAUAGUCUUCAGUCUUUGUACAUACAUCCGUUUAACUCCUUGUCUUCACGUGUGCAUGUUUACGUGAUUAUAAAACGUUACAUGUUUUGUCUAUUGUUGAUGUUUUAAAGAAAAAAUCUGAGAUCGAAUAUGCAAACAAAUGUCAUUCUAAAAGUUCGAAAUUCACAUAGAAAAAACAUAUAUUAAUGUUUUCAUAUAGAAUGUUCUUAAGCUACUUACAUGUAAGUACCAGAAAUGAGAUACAUCAAAUUCAACACAAUGUGGCAACGAUACCAUUCGUAAAAAACAACCGUAAAAUUGAUGUA